rnacentral:rRNA from 1 species
AACGUAGGACACGAGCGUUAUCCGGAGUUACUGGGCGUAAAGGGCGGGUAGGUGGUGCGAUAAGACUGGUGUGAAAGCCUUCGGCUUAACCGAGGGAGGACACUGGUGACUGUCGGACUUGAGGCAGAUAGAGGGGUGUAGAAUUCCGGGUGUAGUGGUGAAAUGCGUAGAGAUCCGGAGGAACACCGACGGCGUAGGCAGCGCCCUGGACGACACCUGACGCUGAGGCACGAAAGCUGGGGGAGCGAACAGG